CUGUAUGAUCUGACUGGGUCCUGAGGAGCUCUGCUCCAUGGUCAAGGUUGGUUUUCACUCCAGAACUAGUCCGGGUCUCGAUUUGCCUCUGGUUCCACUUUAUGGUUCAAGGCCGACUGCUUGCGAAGGACAAGGUCACUAUUUAGACACUCACACUGGGAUCAUUGAACUCUAUGAGUCUGAGGCACUAACUCAAUGAAAUAAUUUAACACACCAAGAUGAUUGAAGGACAGGUUUUGAAAUGUAAACCGUGUCUUCUGCUGCCUUCAUCUUGACACCUGCCAAUCCAAAGGACACCCAAGGUGGACCGGACGGAGCUGCUGGUGGAAAUAUCCACUUAAUGCCUUUGAAACUCUUGUCUCAUUCUUCUGCAGACACCUGGAAAAAUGCAAAGAGCACGUCUUGCAGAGUCUAAAUUGCAGAAUUAUUAAUCAGCGCUUGCUCCCUGGCAUGCUGUUAGGCUUCUCUGGCGGUUGAGGUCUCAGAACGGCAGCCAUGAAGAAUGGUGGCGCUGGGGAGGGCAUGUGACUCUUGUCUGGUUGAGUUUAUCACAGCCUUCUGUUUAUUCUUCAUUACCUCAGAGCCAAGGCAAAAUUGCUUUGAAGGGUGAGGCCAGUUGCUCCGUCUUCCGCUGCUCCCUUAAUUGAGAAUCCCAUUAAUCAGAAGAGGGGAUCAGGCCUGGCUACUCGCUCCCUGGGUACAGAGAGGGUUUGGGUCCACCGAGUUUGGUAUGCUAAUGACAACUGCCUCUCGUCAUAUGCUAGUCAAGAGUGACUCCCUAAUCUGUAAACUGUGUGACAACCUGAGCAUAUGGUGACAGCUGAGGAGACAGAAUGCUGUGUCCCACAGACAGGGGCUGGGGACUCGGGCUGGAGUUUCAUUGGAGCAGAGGGCAGGAGCCUGAGAGAGCUGAACAAGGCAGGCUCUCACAUUCUGGUCACAAAUAACGAGGUACACAUGUCCCCACAG